rnacentral:rRNA from 1 species
UACCAGCACCCCGAGUGGUCGGGACGUUUAUUGGGCCUAAAGCAUCCGUAGCCGGUUCUACAAGUCUUCCGUUAAAUCCAACUGCUUAACAGGUGGGCUGCGGAAGAUACUAUAGAGCUAGGAGGCGGGAGAGGCAAGCGGUACUCGAUGGGUAGGGGUAAAAUCCGUUGAUCCAUUGAAGACCACCAGUGGCGAAGGCGGCUUGCCAGAACGCGCUCGACGGUGAGGGAUGAAAGCUGGGGGAGCAACCGGAUAGAUACC